GCGGCCGCUCCGCGUUUCAGUGCCGCGGCUUCAAAUACCUUGCAGUAGUCCAGCGUGGCGACCAUCUCGUAGGACCCCAGCGACAGCUCCGGCCGCUCGUAGAAGUCCACCCGGCGGCCCAUGUGAUCCAAAUGUUGGAAAGCGACACCUUCGUUGACGCAGUUGCAGAACGCGCACUGGUAGCGGCGGCCGCCGUCGAGGAACUGCAUGUAGGGACACAUGUAGGCCUUGCAUCGGUUGCAGCGGAUGGGGCCGCUUUCGCCGUGGUUCACCAGACUUCAAGUUACCACCGAAGAAACGACGGAGCGCUCCGAUUCCUACAGCCUACAGUCAUCUGCACAGCUAUGGUCGUCAAAAUUAAAGUUUGGAAGAAUUUGACCCAAGGGUAGCAUAUACAGGCUGAACAGGAGAGGUCCAAGAACUGACCCUUGAGGGACCCCAUAGGUGAUUGCCAUUCGCUGAGACCAAGCGCCUCCAAUGGUCACAAAGUAGCUCCUUUCCUCCAGGGAAGUCCGCAGACCUUUGUGGAUGAGCCCCGUUCUGCUGGCUGUUUGGAUUGUAAGGACCCGACACGGGAGGCGGAGGCAUGCCGGGAGCCGAGGACACCGGCGACUUCAUUGCAGCUAAG